GUCUGAGGGCAAUGGAUAGUUCGUUGGACGUCUGAUCCAAAGGUCGUGGGAUCAAAUCCCACCUGGGAUG
rnacentral:tRNA from 1 species